UACGGAGGGUGCAAGCGUUAUCCGGAUUCACUGGGUUUAAAGGGUGCGUAGGUGGCUUUGUAAGUCCGUGGUGAAAUACCGCAGCUCAACUGCGGAACUGCCAUUGAUACUGCUUAGCUUGAAUCAGGUCGAGGUGGAUGGAAUAUUACAUGAAGCGGUGAAAUGCUUAGAUAUGUAAUAGAACACCGAUUGCGAAGGCAGUUCACUAGGCCUGAAUUGACACUGAGGCACGAAAGCGUGGGGAUCAAACAGG
rnacentral:rRNA from 1 species